AGAAUCAACGCUGGCGGCGUGCCUAACACAUGCAAGUCGAACGCGAAAGUCCCGCAAGGGGCAAGUAGAGUGGCAAACGGGUGAGUAACGCGUGGGCGACCUACCUCUGAGUGGGGGAUAACCGUUCCGAAAGGAGGCUAAUACCGCAUGACAUUCCGCCUUUAGAUAGGCGGUCAUCAAAGCCGGGGAUCGCAAGACCUGGCGCUUGGAGAGGGGCCCGCGUCCGAUUAGCUAGUUGGUGAGGUAACGGCUCACCAAGGCUCCGAUCGGUA
rnacentral:rRNA from 1 species